AUUGACAUAAGGUGUUAAAGUGAUACACUCAAUGUUUACAUUUGUUUAUAGGACCUUAUCUAAAAAGAUCUUUUCAAACACUCGUUAGUUAAAGUAAAGCACGACGGAAUGGACGGAAUACAGCUCUUAUUAAAUAAAUCAAGAAUUACUUUUUGUCACCUCUACCCAAUUUUGAUUAAACGCAACUCCGACAAACGCCAGAAUCAUUUUACAGUAGAGACCCUAAUUUAGGGUCCCUAUUUUACACGUCAUUUAGUUUGAUUGUCAAAGUGUUCAAAGUAAACAAAAACAAAAUCCAUCGAUGUGAUGACCGUGUUCGAAAGAAAUCGGAAAACAGCUUUGUGCUCGGAAAAUGGACUUGAAGAUCCUGCAGGAAAUACAACCUAGGCGCGGUAAGUUUUGCCAACUUCUGGGUGCGGCUAAGACCGUCAAUUUGGACACCGUUACGUGAAUGUUCUCUAACCCGGAUGACGAUCCACUAGCUUCCACAAUCUGGAUGGAUGACUUUAAACUCUGUGUAACUACGUUACAGUGAUCGAGUUUCUGCUGGAGCAAGGUCUCAGUUUUUUUUCUUUUGCGCAGCGAUGGCGCUGAAUUUGUGCACGAGGGUGUCUAGGAUGUAGUUCUGCUGCAAAGCAACGCCACCCUGCCGGAAAAGCCGGACGCGUCCCCCCACAACGUCCUGCUAAAACGUGCUCGGUCGAAACACAAAGUCGCUGCAUUCGAUGCAAACAACUAGCCCACGACGCCGACCUGACGAUCCAGGAAGCUUAAACAAGUCUGGAUCAAACUUCCAUCGCGGUCAUCAAAGCUAUGGAGGAUUCGCAAGCUACGACUAGUGAUAACACUUGAUCGCUGGGCAUGAGGGGGUUUGAUGGCGACCACGUGCUCUCCGACGACGGAACCCGUCACGCUGCCAUCUGGUGCCUCCUUCGCGCAAGUGGUUUCAGUUCAGAAGCUCCCUGUUAGCAGCUACCAUAGUCCAGUACACUGUGUCAAGUGCUUCAUAGGUCAUCGGUGUCCACUUUUUCACUAUUCUACAGUUACAACAUUUGCUGGAGUGUGAGCAUUUCAUUGAAAUCCACGACAAAAUUUGGCUCAUUUUACGCGAUUUUAAUCGACGGUGUACAAUUCACUGCUGAUUCGCUUAACCGUAAGUAAUUCAUGGUUUUAAUCGCCCUAAUCCCCUAAUGAAUUCCGUAGAGCUAAACUCACAGCUAUUUUUUUAUUUUCAUAUA